rnacentral:rRNA from 1 species
UACGUAGGGUGCGAGCGUUAAUCGGAAUUACUGGGCAUAAAGCGUGCGCAGGCGGUUUUAUAAGCCAGAUGUGAAAGCCCCGGGCUCAACCUGGGAAUGGCAUUGGGACUGUAAGGCUGGAGUAUGGCAGAGGAGACUGAGAAUUCCUGGUGUAGCAGUGAAAUGCGUAGAUAUCAGGAGGAAUACCGAUGGCGAAGGCAGGUCUCUGGGCCAAUACUGACGCUCAUGCACGAAAGCGUGGGGAGCAAACAGG